GAUGAACGCUAGCGGCAGGCCUAACACAUGCAAGUCGAGGGGUAACUAGAGUGAUAGCAAUAUUACUUUGGCUAGACCGGCGCACGGGUGCGUAACACGUAUGCAACCUACCUUAUACUGGGGAAUAACUUCGAGAAAUCGGCGCUAAUACCCCAUAACAUUGCGAAGAGGCAUCUCUUUGCAAUUAAAGCUCCGGCGGUAUAAGAUGGGCAUGCGUCCAAUUAGCUAGUUGGUGAGGUAACGGCUCACCAAGGCUACGAUUGGUAGGGGUUCUGAGAGGAUGAUCCCCCACACUGGUACUGAGACACGGACCAGACUCCUACGGGGGGCAGCAGUGAGGAAUAUUGCGCAAUGGACGAAAGUCUGACGCAGCCAUGCCGCGUGCAGGAUGACGGCCCUAUGGGUUGUAAACUGCUUUUGUACGGGAAUAAACCCUUCUACGUGUAGGAGGCUGAAGAUACCGUAAGAAUAAGCACCGGCUAACUCCGUGCCAGCAGCCGCCGCGG
rnacentral:rRNA from 1 species